rnacentral:rRNA from 1 species
UACGUAGGGGGCAAGCGUUGUCCGGAUUUACUGGGCGUAAAGAGCGUGUAGGCGGCCAAGCAGGUCCGUUGUGAAAACUGGAGGCUUAACCUCCAGACGUCGACGGAAACCGCGCGGCUAGAGUCCGGAAGAGGAGAGUGGAAUUCCUGGUGUAGCGGUGAAAUGCGCAGAUAUCAGGAAGAACACCAAUGGCGAAGGCAGCUCUCUGGGACGGUACUGACGCUGAGACGCGA